CCGCACAAGCGGUGGAGCAGUGUGGUUUAAUUCGAAGCAACGCGAAGAACCUUACCAGGUCUUGACAUCCCGAUGCUAUUUCUAGAGAUAGAAAGUUACUUCGGUACAUCGGUGACAGGUGGUGCAUGGUUGUCGUCAGCUCGUGUCGUGAGAUGUUGGGUUAAGUCCCGCAACGAGCGCAACCCCUAUUGUUAGUUGCCAUCAUUCAGUUGGGCACUCUAGCGAGACUGCCGGUAAUAAACCGGAGGAAGGUGGGGAUGACGUCAAAUCAUCAUGCCCCUUAUGACCUGGGCUACACACGUGCUACAAUGGUUGGUACAACGAGUUGCGAGUCGGUGACGGCGAGCUAAUCUCUUAAAGCCAAUCUCAGUUCGGAUUGUAGGCUGCAACUCGCCUACAUGAAGUCGGAAUCGCUAGUAAUCGCGGAUCAGCACGCCGCGGUGAAUACGUUCCCGGGCCUU
rnacentral:rRNA from 1 species